GUACUUGGUAGGAGUUCCACAGGUAUGGUUUUCUCUCUUACCCUUCCCAAAUUUUUCUUUGGGUGGACUGGACCAGAAUUGAUGUGUACUUAUUUCCUCACUCCUUUUUUUAUGCAUGCAUGUUAUUUAUGUAUAUUUGUGCAUUUUUUGGUGAUGAAAUUAUUAUUAUAGUCUUUCAUUUCUGAAGCUGAAGAUUGACAGUAUUCUAGUCUGCCUAAACGAUAAAUCUAAAAAAUUGAUAUGCAUUUAAAAUAUCUAUUUGGCCUUCAGAAAAAUGUACAUAAUUAAGCUUCACUAUCUUCAUAGAACUGAUCUCCUUGUAUAUCCCCCCCUCUGGUGCAGGUUUUACUAGAU
rnacentral:misc_RNA from 1 species